UACGUAGGUGACCAGCGUUGUCCGGAUUUACUGGGCGUAAAGAGCGCGCAGGCGGUCGUUCAAGUCGAGUGUGAAAGCCCCCGGCUCAACUGGGGAAGGUCACUCGAUACUGAUCGACUUGAAGGCAGGAGAGGGAAGCGGAAUUCCCGGUGUAGUGGUGAAAUGCGUAGAUAUCGGGAGGAACACCAGUGGCGAAGGCGGCUUCCUGGCCUGUUCUUGACGCUGAGGCGCGAAAGCUAGGGGAGCAAACGGG
rnacentral:rRNA from 1 species